UCCCUGGUGGUCUAGUGGCUAAUACUCUAUGCUCCCAAUGCAGAAUGCCCAGGUUCGAUCCCUGGUCAGGGAA
rfam:Ovis aries breed Texel chromosome 5, whole genome shotgun sequence.